rnacentral:rRNA from 1 species
UACGAGGGGGGCAAGCGUUGUUCGGAUUUAUUGGGCGUAAAGGGUGCGUAGGCGGGCAUGUAAGUCUGUGGUGAAAUCUCCAAGCUUAACUUGGCAACUGCCAUGGAUACUAUAUGUCUUGAAUGUUGUGGGGGUUAGCGGAAUAUGUCAUGUAGCGGUGAAAUGCAUAGAUAUGACAUAGAACACCAAUUGCGAAGGCAGCUGGCUACACAAAUAUUGACGCUGAGGCACGAAAGCGUGGGGAUCAAACAGG